GUAGGGGUGGAGGGCAGGAUGCCCGGAAUAACGAGCACGCCUGGAAAGUGUGUAUACGCUAACCGCGUAUCGAGGGUUCGAAUCCCUCUCUCUCCGCCA
rnacentral:tRNA from 1 species